UCUUUUUUAGUUUAAGGAAAAUAUUAUUUUUGUAAAAUAAAGAUUGGAAAAGUG
rnacentral:tRNA from 1 species